rnacentral:rRNA from 1 species
UACGGAGGGGGUUAGCGUUGUUCGGAAUUACUGGGCGUAAAGCGCGCGUAGGCGGAUUGGAAAGUUGGGGGUGAAAUCCCGGGGCUCAACCCCGGAACUGCCUCCAAAACUCCCAGUCUUGAGUUCGAGAGAGGUGAGUGGAACUCCGAGUGUAGAGGUGAAAUUCGUAGAUAUUCGGAAGAACACCAGUGGCGAAGGCGGCUCACUGGCUCGAUACUGACGCUGAGGUGCGAAAGUGUGGGGAGCAAACAGG